GGGUGAGUAACGCGUGAGUAACCUGCCUUAAAGAGGGGGAUAACGCUUCGAAGGGAACGCUAAUACCGCAUAAGAUCAAGCUGUGGCAUCAUGAAUUGAUCAAAGGAGCAAUCCGCUUUAAGAUGGACUCGCGUCCGAUUAGCUAGUUGGUGAGAUAACAGCCCACCAAGGCGACGAUCGGUAGCCGGACUGAGAGGUUGACCGGCCACAUUGGGACUGAGAUACGGCCCAGACUCCUACGGGAGGCAGCAGUGGGGGAUAUUGCGCAAUGGGGGAAACCCUGACGCAGCAACGCCGCGUGAAGGAAGAAGGCCUUCGGGUUGUAAACUUUUGUCUUAUGGGAAGAAAAAAAUGACGGUACCAUAGGAGGAAGCUCCGGCUAACUACGUGCCAGCAGCCGCGGUAAUACGUAGGGAGCGAGCGUUGUCCGGAAUUACUGGGUGUAAAGGGCGUGUAGGCGGUAUGGCAAGUCAGAUGUGAAACCUCGGGGCUUAACCCCGAGCAUGCAUUUGAAACUGCCGUACUUGAGUGCAGGAGAGGUAAGCGGAAUUCCCGGUGUAGCGGUGAAAUGCGUAGAGAUCGGGAGGAACACCAGUGGCGAAGGCGGCUUACUGGACUGCAACUGACGCUGAGGCGCGAAAGCGUGGGGAGCAAACAGGAUUAGAUACCCUGGUAGUCCACGCUGUAAACGAUGAUUACUAGGUGUAGGGGGUAUCGACUCCCCCUGUGCCGGAGUUAACACAAUAAGUAAUCCACCUGGGGAGUA
rnacentral:rRNA from 1 species